rnacentral:antisense_RNA from 1 species
CUGGGAACUUUUUAGUAAUGUAAAAAUGUGGGUCCCCACUCCUCUAUCACUAUCUGUGCCUUAACCAGACCCCUCGGUGAUUCACAUGUAUAUUUAACAUUUAGAACUCUGCUUUGUAAAGCUAUUACAGUAGUGCCAACAAAGAGCUUGCAUUACUCCAACCUUAAAGCCUAAUGUGCCUUCUAAAGAUCCUGAUAUUGUCACAGUAGGCUAGUUAGCAUAGAAACUGUUAGAGGAAAGUACACACUUUGUGCAUUUUUCCAAGAAUGUUUUUAGUCAUUUCCUUUUCAGUGUGUGAAACAGCCUAACAUGUUCAUCUUCACAAGGUCAAUUUUCAUGUAUUAAAUUGUGCAUAGUGCUUUAAAGAGCUAUAUUCCUCAAAAAUAAACUAUAUAAAAAAGAUUAAUA